AGACGUGUAAUUCAAAUGGUUAGAAUUUUGAUUUUCAAAAUCAAUUGUUAGUGGUUCAAGUCCUCUCAUGUCUG
rnacentral:tRNA from 1 species